GUGCCAGCAGCCGCGGUAAUACGUAGGCUCCAAGCGUUGUUCGGAAUUACUGGGCGUAAAGCGAGUGUAGGCGGUUUGCCAAGUCGAUUGUGAAAUCUCCCGGCUCAACUGGGAGGGUGCGGUCGAUACUGGCAAGCUAGAGUACGGAAGAGGAAGGUAGAAUUCCUGGUGUAGCGGUGGAAUGCGUAGAUAUCAGGAGGAAUGCCAGAGGUGAAGACGGCCUUCUGGACCGUAACUGACGCUGAGACUCGAAAGCGUGGGGAGCAAACAGGAUUAGAUACCCUGGUAGUCCACGCCCUAAACGAUGCAUACUUGGUGUGGGCUCUUCACUGAGUCCGUGCCGGAGCUAACGCGUUAAGUAUGCCGCCUGGGGAGUACGGUCGCAAGGCUGAAACUCAAAGAAAUUGGCGG
rnacentral:rRNA from 1 species